rnacentral:rRNA from 1 species
AUAUUAAAUAUUAUUUUAGUUUUAUUUUUUAUUUAUUUUUAAAAUAUUAGUGUUUUAAUUAAAUAGUUGAAUUAUUUAGAAUAAUUAUAGUUAAUUUGUAUAUUAAUAGAUUUAUUACAAAUAAAUAAAAAGUUAAAUAAAAAUUAGUACCUUUUGUAUCAGGGUUUAAAUAAAAUGGGUUAAAUAAUUUUGUCUCGAAAAUUUUAGAUUUAAUUCUUUAUAAUUAUUAAUGUGGAAAAAUUAAAUUUAAUAAAGAAUUAGUAAUUAAAAGUUAAUCGUUAAAAUUGUUUUCUAGUUUUUGAAUAAAUUAAUUUAAUUAAUUAAUUGAAAUAUAUUAUUUUUACAAUAUUUUAAUUAUUUCAAUUAUAAAAUUAUAAAAAGUUUAGUUUUUAUAAUAAUUAUAUUUAAUUAUAAAUUAUAAUUUUAUAUAAAUUUAGUAUUUAUUAUUAUUUAUAGGUUUUUAUAAAUAAAAAUUAUUUAUUUAUAUUUUUUAAAAAAAUUAAUUUUUUAUUCAAAUUUUAAUUUUAAUUUUUUAAAUUAAAUAAUAAUUUUAAAAUAAGUAAAUUUUAAUAGUUUAAAUUUAGUAAUUCGGCAAAUUAAUUUACACCUGUUUAACAAAAACAUGUCUUUAAGUUUUAUUUUUAAGUCUAAUCUGCUCACUGAAUUUUAAAGAGCCGCAGUAUUUUGACUGUGCAAAGGUAGCAUAAUCAAUAGUUUUUUAAUUGAAAACUGGAAUGAAAGAUUGAAUGAUAAAUUAACUUUCUUAAUUUUAAAAAUUGAAUUUAAAAUUUAAGUUAAAAUUCUUAAAUAAUUUUAUAAGACGAGAAGACCCUAUAGAUUUUUAUUAUUUAAUAAUUUUAUUAUAUAAAAAUAUUAUUAAAAUAAUUUAAUUGGGGUGAUUAUGUAAUAUAUUUAACUUAAUUUAUUAAAACCAUAAAUAAUUGAAUAUUUUGAUCUAAAAUUUUUAAUUAAAAGAUUAAAUUACCUUAGGGAUAACAGCGUUAUACUAUUUAAGAGUUCAUAUCUAUAAUAGUGAUUGCGACCUCGAUGUUGAAUUAAGAUAUAUACUGGAGCAGAAAUUAGUAAUAAUUAGUCUGUUCGACUAUUAAAUUCUUACAUGAUUUGAGUUCAGACCGGCGUAAGCCAGGUCAGUUUCUAUCUUUAAAUUUUAUUUUAUAUAUAGGUACGAAAGGACAAUAUAUUAAUAAUAAUUAUUUAAUUUGAAUAAUAUU